UCCAGACAUGCGGGCACAAUCGAGCACGUCAGAGAGACAAAGUUGCACACUUACUAGAGGAAUUUGCAAUGCUACAAGAUGAGGCAGACAAAGUGGAUGCAUAUCUUCACAAUGUUCUCCUGAAGAGUGACCAGCCACGCCCUCACCUGGGCCUACCUUGGCACCUGGGUCCUUUACCACACACUGCGACUCAUGAUAAAGUACCUGCUGACUGGAUUCACACUAGAACUGUAUGCCGUGCAUGAAUAUCAUUACGUCUACUGGUACCUUUAUGAGUUUGUGUAUGUGUGGCUGGUGAGUGCCCUCUCCCGUGCAGACGCUAUGCUGCUGGAGCAAGAUGGCUAUGACACCAACAA